AACAGAACAGGGCAGGGAGUUUCACAGUGUUCUUCUAUACAAUGUCUGGAAUCUAUGAAUAACAUCAGUUUCUAAGUUAUGAGUUGAUUUUUAACUACUGGGUUUAGGCCAGGCAGGCCCAGACCUGGUUUCGGGCCUGGCGUCAGGCUGCCUGUCUUUGGUUUUACUUCCUUGUUGUUUUUUCUUAAAACAGGUACUGAGUAUAAAACAAUAUAAAACAGUACGAGAGGGUCUCUCUCUUCCCUCAUUUACAUCUGUGUAACCACUAUCCUAAUCAACAUAUAGAAUAUUUUAUCACCUUUUAAGUUCCUAUGUGACUUACUGUUGUCAAUGUCCUUCUUCCAUUCCCAAUACCUGGAAACUACUGAUCUGAUUUUUGUCACCAUCGAUCAGAUUUGCUUUUUUCUAAAAUUUCGUAUGUAUACAAUUAUAUGGUAGGUAUUCUUUUGUGUCUAGCUUAUUUCUUUCAGAAUAAUGCUUUAAAAUUUAUCCAUAUUGGUGAAAGAAUCAGUACUUUAUUUCUUUUGGUUGCUAAGUACUAUUCAGUUUUAUGACUUGUGAUAUUAUGAAGUAUAUAUUCAAUCUUUGACCCCUUUUCCUGACAUACGACUCCUAAAAUACUUAGAAACUCUGAAGCGAUGUCUUAUCUUUGUUAAUGAUUGACUGAACGGAUGGCUGGCAGCCCCUGGGUAACUUCAGGAUGGGGGAUGGGAGAGACAAAGGCAUGAUUAGAGAGUUGGGACUUUCAGCUCCAUCCCCAAUAUCUGGGAAGGGGAGAGAGUCUGAAGGUUGACUACCAAUGGCCAAUGAUUUAAUCAAUUAUGCCUGUUUAAUGAAUCUUCCAUAAAAACCUAAAAGGACUAGGUUCAGAGAGCUUCCAGAUAGCUGAACACAUGGAGGUUCCUUGAGAGCGGUGUGCCCCAAGACAGUGAGGACGCUCUGCACCCCUUUCCCCCAUACCUUGCCCUUUGCAUCUCUUCAUCCUUAUGCUUUGUAAUAUAUGUAUGCCUUUAUAAUAAACUAGUAAAUGUAAGUAAGUGUUUCUCUGAGUUCUAUGAGAUGUUCUAGCAAAUUAAUUAUUAAUUGAACUCAAAUGGGGGGUCAUGGGAAUCUCAAUCUGGAAAGAAAAAUAAAAUCUGAAAACCACAAAGUUAUUAUGCCAAGGGGAAAAUUAAGGUUGGAAACGGAGUCACACAAAACACUGCCUUCCUUCUGUUCCCAAACAGGUAACUCUAAUUUCACAUGCUUACUCUAUCGUAUGUAAAAUGUAGAUUUACUGAGGAUGAGAUGAAUGCUUAAUUGAUUUUUUCCUCUACUCUCUUUUUUUCACACACAAAAUGUGGAUUCAUUGAGUGUUAAUCAAAGCCUUAUAAGAAUGUAACCACUUGUCUCAUUGCCUACUGUCCCUCCUUUUUUCCCCUUUCCCUCCUGCUUGCUCUUACACCUUAAAUAGUUAAGUUUCCAAAACCCUCUUUGGAAAAACACAGGUCAAGGAUCCUACUGUGACUUAUGUUUCUAUUUCCCAGGCAUAUCCUCGACUGGCAAAAUAAACCUCUAAUCAAUAGAGAUCUGCCUCAGUCACUUUUUGGCUUACAUGUUGGUGACCACGAAGGGACUCUGAGUGGAGUCUGGCUCUUGGCCUCCAGCAGGUCUCCUAUUGGGGCCCUGGUACCGGCUGGAGCUCUUUAUUACUCUUACAGAUUGGAUGAUUUGCUAUGUAAGUUCUGGGAACUUCUCCCUCCAGAGAUCCCUGAUCUCCCCCAAAUUUUCAAUUGGGAUCUGAGGUUUAUUCUGCUGUAAAACUCCUUUUCUGGUAGUUUCUGCUUCCAUGAUGGCAGACAGCAGUCUUCAGCUUGGGUCCAUCUCCAGUGGGAUUUGGUAGCUGAAGGGCAAGGUUUAUUGUCAGUUGGCUAUAACUUACCCUUAUGCUGAGAGAUCGCAAUUAUAUGUGAAUUCUGUGAUCACUUUUUCUGGUUUUUCUUUUCAGUUUUGGUCCACCUUCUGUUAGACUUUACCAACUCCUGGCCCCCUCUAAUGUUGAAUGAAACUCUGCAGCUGGAGAAAGUCAAUUUUCACUUCUAAAAACCCUGGCUGGCUUUUUGUUUCCUGUCUUUUUUCAUCUGUUGGGGGCACAUGAGGCUUUGGGGCCUUUGUGUGCAUAUGGUCAGCUGAGAAGUAAUAUCAUCAGGAAGACGGGUGCUUCACCAUGCUUCUGCCUGUACCAGUGUACAGAAUAUAAAGCCUUGGAGGAACUGCAGUUGAUGACAGCAUCUUCCCCUUCUCGGAGGAUCACGGCUUGAGGACUCUGCACUGGUUGUUGGCUUCUCACCCCUGAUCAGAAAGACAAUCGAAUGAGAUGCUCAAUCUCGUGAAGGGAAGGGUGAUUUUCUCUCUUCCUUCCUUAUUUAAAACAUUAAGCAUCACCACAUAAUUACGGUACAUUUUCCUCACUUCUUAGGUCUGGUUCUUAAAAGGGCCCUUCCCAAGACAGAAAGCUAUUGUCAUUAAGAUGCUGUCAUAUCACAACCUCUCCCAGACUGAAUCGUGUACUCACAGGUCAACUGCCACAACAAGGUGCCUGAAAGCACUUUCAGGAGAGUCUCCAUCCUUGGCCUGCCAGAAUAUCCAGUCAGCUUCUGAAUGGGCUUCCUUAACAGGAGUUGCUUUGAACUCAGAAUGAGGCCUGUUGCAAUUGCUUCCAGGAUAUUGCAACUUUGGGGGCAACCAAUCAGAGACACAUCACAACAGUUUAACUGCAGAGAACUAAAUGCAUCUACCUAGAAUACUUUUUAAACAGCUCUCCCCUGUGGCCAGACUGAGGAAUGUUGAUUAAACUGUGGAUUUUGGCUUUUCUUGAGAAACCAUCAAGAUCCGGAAAACAAAACAAAACUUCUCCAAUUAUCUCCCAGCCUUGUAGUGUUCCUUGUAGCUUUUCUUACUAUAUUCAAAC
rnacentral:lncRNA from 10 species